rnacentral:rRNA from 1 species
UAGGGAAUAUUGCGCAAUGGGCGAAAGCCUGACGCAGCGACGCCGCGUGAGUGAAGAAGGCCCUCUGGGUUGUAAAGCUCUGUAAGAGGGGAAGAAAAGGCCCGUUAGGGAGAUUGACGGUACCCUCGAAGUAAGGACCGGCUAAAUACGUGCCAGCAGCCGCGGUAAUACGUAUGGUCCGAGCGUUGUCCGGAAUGACUGGGUGUAAAGGGUGCGUAGGUGGACUUUUAAGUCAGGUGUGAAAUCCCCGGGCUCAACCUGGGAACUGCGCUUGAAACUGGAAGUCUGGAGUGGGUAAGAGGUAAGCGGAAUUCCCGGAGUAGCGGUGAAAUGCGUAGAGAUCGGGAAGAACAUCUGUGGCGAAGGCGGCUUACUGGUACUUAACUGACACUGAGGCACGAAAGCGUGGGGAGCAAACA